rnacentral:rRNA from 1 species
CGAGUGGCGAACGGGUGAGUAACGCGUGAGGAACCUGCCUCAAAGAGGGGGACAACAGUUGGAAACGACUGCUAAUACCGCAUAAGCCCACGGGUCGGCAUCGACCAGAGGGAAAAGGAGCAAUCCGCUUUGAGAUGGCCUCGCGUCCGAUUAGCUAGUUGGUGAGGUAAUGGCCCACCAAGGCAACGAUCGGUAGCCGGACUGAGAGGUUGAACGGCCACAUUGGGACUGAGACACGGCCCAGACUCCUACGGGAGGCAAGCAUG